rnacentral:rRNA from 1 species
UGCCAGCAGCCGCGGUAAUACGGAGGGUGCAAGCGUUAAUCGGAAUUACUGGGCGUAAAGCGCGCGUAGGUGGUCAAGUCAGUCAGAUGUGAAAGCCCUGGGCUCAACCUGGGAACUGCAUCUGAUACUGCUUGUCUAGAGUAUGGUAGAGGGGUGUGGAAUUUCCUGUGUAGCGGUGAAAUGCGUAGAUAUAGGAAGGAACACCAGUGGCGAAGGCGACACCCUGGACCAAUACUGACACUGAGGUGCGAAAGUGUGGGGAGCAAACAGGAUUAGAUA